rnacentral:rRNA from 1 species
UGCUUCAAUUGCCGGCGACCGGCGCACGGGUGAGUAACGCGUAUCCAACCUUCCGUACACUCAGGGAUAGCCUUUCGAAAGAAAGAUUAAUACCUGAUGGUAUGAUGAGAUUGCAUGAUAGCAUCAUUAAAGAUUUAUCGGUGUACGAUGGGGAUGCGUUCCAUUAGGUAGUAGGCGGGGUAACGGCCCACCUAGCCAACGAUGGAUAGGGGUUCUGAGAGGAAGGUCCCCCACAUUGGAACUGAGACACGGUCCAAACUCCUACGGGAGGCAGCAGUGAGGAAUAUUGGUCAAUGGACGAGAGUCUGAACCAGCCAAGUAGCGUGAAGGAUGAAGGUCCUACGGAUUGUAAACUUCUUUUAUAAGGGAAUAAACCCUCCCACGUGUGGGAGCUUGUAUGUACCUUAUGAAUAAGCAUCGGCUAACUCCGUGCCAGCAGCCGCGGUAAUACGGAGGAUGCGAGCGUUAUCCGGAUUUAUUGGGUUUAAAGGGAGCGCAGACGGGUCGUUAAGUCAGCUGUGAAAGUUUGGGGCUCAACCUUAAAAUUGCAGUUGAUACUGGCGUCCUUGAGUGCGGUUGAGGUGUGCGGAAUUCGUGGUGUAGCGGUGAAAUGCUUAGAUAUCACGAAGAACUCCGAU